UCAGCUCGGUGACCGGUUUGGUACCGAACCGGCUGAGUCAACAAACGACUUGGCCGGUUUGGUACCAAACCGGUCAAACCAGUUGA
rnacentral:pre_miRNA from 1 species